rnacentral:rRNA from 1 species
UGGGGGAUAUUGCACAAUGGAGGAAACUCUGAUGCAGCAACGCCGCGUGAGGGAUGAAGGUUUUCGGAUUGUAAACCUCUGUCCUUAGUGAAGAACAAAAUGACGGUAACUAAGGAGGAAGCUCCGGCUAACUACGUGCCAGCAGCCGCGGUAAUACGUAGGGAGCGAGCGUUGUCCGGAUUUAUUGGGUGUAAAGGGUGCGUAGGCGGUUAUGUAAGUCAGGCGUGUAAUGCAGAGGCUUAACCUCUGAACUGCGUUUGAAACUGCGUAACUUGAGUGGAGUAGAGGCAGAUGGAAUUUCCAGUGUAGCGGUGAAAUGCGUAGAUAUUGGAAGGAACACCAGUGGCGAAGGCGAUCUGCUGGGCUCUAACUGACGCUGAGGCACGAAAGCAUGGGGAGCAAACAGG